rnacentral:rRNA from 1 species
ACGAACGCUGGCGGCAGGCCUAAAACAUGCAAGUCGAACGGGUGUAGCAAUACAUCAGUGGCGCACGGGUGAGUAACGCGUGGGAAUGUGCCCCUUAGUACGGGACAACGUCGGGAAACUGACGCUAAUACCGUAUAAUAUCUCAGGAUCAAAGAUUUAUCGCUGAGGGAGCAGCCCGCGUCUGAUUAGCUAGUUGGUGAGGUAAUGGCUCACCAAGGCUACGAUCAGUAGCAGGUCUGAGAGGAUGAUCUGCCACACUGGGACUGAGACACGGCCCAGACUCCUACGGGAGGCAGCAGUUAGGAAUAUUGGACAAUGGGCGAAAGCCUGAUCCAGCCAUGCCGCGUGUGUGAUGAAGGCCCUAGGGUUGUAAAGCACUUUCGUUGGGGAUGAUAAUGACCGUACCCAAAGAAGAAGCACCGGCUAACUUCGU